rnacentral:sRNA from 2 species
CUUUUAAUCAAUUGGUCGCAGGUUCGAAUCCUGCACGCCCCACCAACUUUAACAUUGUACUCAGGUGUUAAACGUGAAGGAUAACGUUGCUUUAGCAACGGCCCGUUAGGGCGAGACGAAGUCGAGUCAUCCUGCACGCCCCACCA